rnacentral:tRNA from 1 species
UAGAUUGAAGCUCUAUGGAAUGAGCGUUUGGCUGUUAAUUAAAAGGUUGUAGGAUAAAAGCCUACCAAUCUAA